GACGAGGGGUCCUAGCGUUGUUCGGAAUCAUUGGGCGUAAAGCGUGUGUAGGCGGUCUUGUAAGUCAGUUGUGAAAGCCCCGGGCUCAACCCGGGAAGUGCUUCUGAUACUGCAUGACUUGAGUACUGGAGAGGAUAGUAGAAUUCCAGGUGUAGUGGUGAAAUACGUAGAUAUCUGGAGGAAUACCGGUGGCGAAGGCGGCUAUCUGGCCAUGUACUGACGCUGAGACACGAAAGCGUGGGGAGCAAACAGG
rnacentral:rRNA from 1 species